rnacentral:rRNA from 1 species
GUGAGGAAUAUUGGUCAAUGGGCGAGAGCCUGAACCAGCCAAGUAGCGUGCAGGAAGACGGCCCUAUGGGUUGUAAACUGCUUUUAUGCGGGGAUAAAGUGGGCUACGUGUAGUCCUUUGCAGGUACCGCAUGAAUAAGGACCGGCUAAUUCCGUGCCAGCAGCCGCGGUAAUACGGAAGGUCCGGGCGUUAUCCGGAUUUAUUGGGUUUAAAGGGAGCGCAGGCUGAUGAUUAAGCGUGACGUGAAAUGUAGCCGCUCAACGGCUGAACUGCGUCGCGAACUGGUUAUCUUGAGUGAGUUCGAUGUUGGCGGAAUUCGUGGUGUAGCGGUGAAAUGCUUAGAUAUCACGAAGAACUCCGAUUGCGAAGGCAGCCAACAAGGCCUUUACUGACGCUAAAGCUCGAAGGUGCGGGUAUCGAACAGG